rnacentral:rRNA from 1 species
ACACAUGCAAGUUCGAGCGGAUGAAGGAGCUUGCUCCUGGAUUCAGCGGCGGACGGGUGAGUAAUGCCUAGGAAUCUGCCUGGUAGUGGGGGACAACGUUUCGAAAGGAACGCUAAUACCGCAUACGUCCUACGGGAGAAAGCAGGGGACCUUCGGGCCUUGCGCUAUCAGAUGAGCCUAGGUCGGAUUAGCUAGUUGGUGAGGUAAUGGCUCACCAAGGCGACGAUCCGUAACUGGUCUGAGAGGAUGAUCAGUCACACUGGAACUGAGACACGGUCCAGACUCCUACGGGAGGCAGCAGUGGGGAAUAUUGGACAAUGGGCGAAAGCCUGAUCCAGCCAUGCCGCGUGUGUGAAGAAGGUCUUCGGAUUGUAAAGCACUUUAAGUUGGGAGGAAGGGUUGUAGAUUAAUACUCUGCAAUUUUGACGUUACCGACAGAAUAAGCACCGGCUAACUCUGUGCCAGCAGCCGCGGUAAUACAGAGGGUGCAAGCGUUAAUCGGAAUUACUGGGCGUAAAGCGCGCGUAGGUGGUUUGUUAAGUUGGAUGUGAAAUCCCCGGGCUCAACCUGGGAACUGCAUCCAAAACUGGCAAGCUAGAGUAUGGUAUAGGGUGGUGCAAU